rnacentral:rRNA from 1 species
CUCUUCUUGUUAUUUUUUGAAGUAUGGCCUGCCCACUGACAUGUUUGUUGAAGGGCCGCGGUAUUUUGACCGUGCAAAGGUAGCAUAAUCAUUAGUUCUUUAAUUGUGAUCUGGUAUGAAUGGCUUGACGAGGCAUGUACUGUCUUAGGGGUAUUAUUUGUUGAAUUUAGUUUUUGAGUUAAAAUUCUUAGAUGUUUUUAUGGGACGAGAAGACCCUAUAGAGUUUGACAUUUAGUUUGUUGUUAUUUAUUGUUUGUGUUGUUUUCUUUUGAGUGAAUUAAAUGUUUUGUUGGGGUGAUGGGAGGAAUUUUUUUAACUCCUCUUUGUUUUUAUAUAUUUAUUUAUAUAUUUUUGAUCCACUUAUUGUGAUUAUAAGAUUAAAUUACC